GAUGAACGCUGGCGGCGUGCCUAAUACAUGCAAGUCGAGCGAACAGACGAGGAGCUUGCUCCUCUGACGUUAGCGGCGGACGGGUGAGUAACACGUGGAUAACCUACCUAUAAGACUGGGAUAACUUCGGGAAACCGGAGCUAAUACCGGAUAAUAUAUUGAACCGCAUGGUUCAAUAGUGAAAGACGGUUUUGCUGUCACUUAUAGAUGGAUCCGCGCCGCAUUAGCUAGUUGGUAGGGUAACGGCUUACCAAGGCGACGAUGCGUAGCCGACCUGAGAGGGUGAUCGGCCACACUGGAACUGAGACACGGUCCAGACUCCUACGGGAGGCAGCAGUAGGGAAUCUUGCGCAAUGGGCGAAAGCCUGACGGAGCAACGCCGCGUGAGUGAUGAAGGUCUUCGGAUCGUAAAACUCUGUUAUUAGGGAAGAACAAAUGUGUAAGUAACUAUGCACGUCUUGACGGUACCUAAUCAGAAAGCCACGGCUAACUACGUG
rnacentral:rRNA from 1 species